CUCCCGCCCAACGUUUCUUGCCUAUGGCUUCCCCGGAAAAAUUUAUCUUCUCUUUAAAUUGUGGCGCUCAUCACCCAGUCCAAAUCACCCUGGACCCCAACAGGGCUUCUCUACGAACUUCUAUAAACCUAGCAUCAGGCUCCUUUCAACUUUUCUACGAACCAGCUCCAGGCCCCCUGUUUCUCAUGCUCACCUCUUCGCUUCACUUGGCUCCUGAAAUUCCUAGUCUGGACCCCGAAAAGAGGACAUGAUGUCAGAAGUGGGGUGCUGACCCCAAGGGCAUUCCCUAGUAAACAUCCUGCAUACUACACUUCAUGUGAGUGUCAGAUCCCUGGAGAAGCCAGCCUGUAACAUAAUUGGCCAGUCUCCAUCCAGGAGCCCACCCAGAGUUGCCUCAUUAGAACAAAAGACAUUGCCACACCCGGGAAGUUCAAGGCCUUUCUAACAACCUCUUGCUGAGAAAAGAACAUGUAGUCCAGAGAAAAGAACAUGUGAUGUGGAUGCAGAAGCUCUGGGUUUAUGUCCUGGCUCUCCACUGGCCAGCUGCGUGAUCUGGGGUACAGACAGCUCUUCCGGUGCACUAAUCCCUUUAACAUCCUCAUGCUGGUGAUCAAUAUUACCUGCCUCUGAUUUCUUGCCAGGAAUUUAUUCACUCCAGAGAAAAUGUCUUAAUCAGAGGAGAGCUAUUAAGGUGAGAAUUUCAGGCGUGAUAGCAGGUGAGUUAUGGGAAUGUAUGGUCAAAUGUGGGAAACUAUGACAUUUUCAAAUCACUCUCAUGGCUGACUGUCUACCUGGCAAGGCAUGAGUCCUGGUUUUAAAGGAUAAAUAGUUUAUGAUCCAUCACUCUUAGAGGUUUCCCACUGUGAUAUAAUAAAAAAUAAAUAUUUGGUCCUUGUCCCUGGUUUCUGGCUCAGAGUUCCUAAAACCCUUGGAAUCUCCAUAAAAGACUGUCUUUUAUAUGCUAAUGAGAUAACUCUUGGGGGCUGUGGGGCUAGAUGGCUUCAGAAUAGAGGCCGGUCUCCAGAAAGACCCAGCCACAGUUAGCAAUUGGAACUCUCAGGGGAGGUCACUCCCUGACCUCCGGGGAGAGAAGAGAGGCUAGAGAUUGAACUCAGUCACAAAUCUAAUUAUUUAAUUAGUCAUGCCUACAUAAUGAAACCUCCAUUAAAAAACCCUAAAUAAAGGGGUUCAAGAUCUUCCAGGUUGGUAAAGAGAUCGAGGUACUGGGAGGGUGGUGUGCCCAGAGAGGACACCGAAGCUCCGUGCCCCUCCCCACACACCUUGCCCUAAGCAUCUCUUCCAUUUGGCUGUUCUUGGGUUGUAUCCUUUAUAAUAAGCUGGUAAAUGUAAGAAAAGUGUUUUUCUGAGUUCUGUGAGUUGUUCUAGUGAAGUGCCAAACCUGAGAAGCGGGGUGUGGGAACCCCGGACUUUAAAGCCAGUUGGUCAGAUGCGGAGGCUCCUGGGACUUAUGACUGGCAUUUGAAGUCAGGGAAGGCUCAUAGGACUUGAAAAUGAGUGAAACAGAGACCAGAAAUAGAGACAGAAAAAUAAGGAAAGUGAAAGUGAAAGGCAGAGGUGGAGACAGAACAAUAGAGAGACUGAGACAAACACAGGUGGGGAGAGACUGAAGGAGAGAGAGAAUUACUUUCAGGCAGGCAGGAACUGAGAGUAACUGUUUUGAUUUAAUUAACAUACCUAGGCCUAGCCGCAUAUUUGAAUCACCAGGAAUGUCUUCCAAAACUACUGACACUGAGACCAGAUACCUGACCAAUUAAAAUCACGCUCUUCAGGGGUGGGGCCUGGCACCUGUAUUUAUAAAGCUCCCCAGGUGAUGCUGAUGUGCAGCCGGGAUUGAGUGUCAUGGAUGUCCACUAACUGGAAUAUGAGGGUCUGCAUCUUCUGCUAACUGGUGAUUCCCAGGAAGAGGAAGCCAGUAGAGGGGAAGGGCAGGCAAGAGCCAAACUGAGCAUUUAGUACCUGUACUAGUAA